AACAGGAUUAGAUACCCUGGUAGUCCACGCCCUAAACGAUGUCAACUAGCUGUUGGGGCCUUCGGGCCUUGGUAGCGCAGCUAACGCGUGAAGUUGACCGCCUGGGGAGUACGGUCGCAAGAUUAAAACUCAAAGGAAUUGACGGGGACCCGCACAAGCGGUGGAUGAUGUGGAUUAAUUCGAUGCAACGCGAAAAACCUUACCUACCCUUGACAUGUCUGGAAUUCCGAAGAGAUUUGGAAGUGCUCGCAAGAGAACCGGAACACAGGUGCUGCAUGGCUGUCGUCAGCUCGUGUCGUGAGAUGUUGGGUUUAGUCCCGCAACGAGCGCAACCCUUGUCAUUAGUUGCUACGAAAGGGCACUCUAAUGAGACUGCCGGUGACAAACCGGAGGAAGGUGGGGAUGACGUCAAGUCCUCAUGGCCCUUAUGGGUAGGGCUUCACACGUCAUACAAUGGUCGGGACAGAGGGUCGCCAACCCGCGAGGGGGAGCCAAUCCCAGAAACCCGAUCGUAGUCCGGAUCGCAGUCUGCAACUCGACUGCGUGAAGUCGGAAUCGCUAGUAAUCGCGGAUCAGCAUGUCGCGGUGAAUACGUUCCCGGGUCUUGUACACACCGCCCGUCACACCAUGGGAGUGGGCUUUACCAGAAGUAGUUAGCCUAACCGUAAGGGGGGCGAUUACCACGGUAGGAUUCAUGACUGGGGUGAAGUCGUAACAAGGUAACC
rnacentral:rRNA from 1 species